rnacentral:rRNA from 1 species
CGACCGGCGCACGGGUGAGUAACACGUAUCCAACCUGCCCUUUACUCGGGGAUAGCCUUUCGAAAGAAAGAUUAAUACCCGAUAGCAUAAUGAUUCCGCAUGGUUUCAUUAUUAAAGGAUUCCGGUAAAGGAUGGGGAUGCGUUCCAUUAGGUUGUUGGUGAGGUAACGGCUCACCAAGCCUUCGAUGGAUAGGGGUUCUGAGAGGAAGGUCCCCCACAUUGGAACUGAGACACGGUCCAAACUCCUACGGGAGGCAGCAGUGAGGAAUAUUGGUCAAUGGGCGCUAGCCUGAACCAGCCAAGUAGCGUGAAGGAUGAAGGCUCUAUGGGUCGUAAACUUCUUUUAUAUAAGAAUAAAGUGCAGUAUGUAUACUGUUUUGUAUGUAUUAUAUGAAUAAGGAUCGGCUAACUCCGUGCCAGCAGCCGCGGUAAUACGGAGGAUCCGAGCGUUAUCCGGAUUUAUUGGGUUUAAAGGGAGCGUAGGUGGACUGGUAAGUCAGUUGUGAAAGUUUGCGGCUCAACCGUAAAAUUGCAGUUGAUACUGUCAGUCUUGAGUACAGUAGAGGUGGGCGGAAUUCGUGGUGUAGCGGUGAAAUGCUUAGAUAUCACGAAGAACUCCGAUUGCGAAGGCAGCUCACUGGACUGC